CGGCGGCUCGAGUGGUGACCACUUUUAUUGGGCUUAAAGCGUUCGUAGCCGGAUUGUUAAGUCUCUUGGGAAAUCCGCCGGCUCAACCGGCGGGCGUCUAAGAGAUACUGGCAAUCUUGGGACCGGGAGAGGUAAGAGGUACUCCGGGGGUAGGAGUGAAAUCCUGUAAUCCCCGGGGGACCACCGGUGGCGAAGGCGUCUUACCAGAACGGCUCCGACAGUGAGGAACGAAAGCUGGGGGAGCGAACCGGAUUAGAUACCCGAGUAGUCC
rnacentral:rRNA from 1 species